rnacentral:rRNA from 1 species
AUUGAACGCUGGCGGCAGGCUUAACACAUGCAAGUCGAGCGGGGGAAGGUAGCUUGCUACCGGACCUAGCGGCGGACGGGUGAGUAAUGCUUAGGAAUCUGCCUAUUAGUGGGGGACAACAUCUCGAAAGGGAUGCUAAUACCGCAUACGUCCUACGGGAGAAAGCAGGGGAUCUUCGGACCUUGCGCUAAUAGAUGAGACUAAGUCGGAUUAGCUAGUGGGUGGGGUAAAGGCCUACCAAGGCGACGAUAUGUAGCGGGUCUGAGAGGAUGAUCGGCAACUCUGGGACUGAGACACGGCCCUGACUCCUGCGGUCUGCAGCAGUGGGGAAUAUUGGACAAUGGGGGAACCCUGAGCCAGCCAUGCCGCGUGUGUUAAGAAGGCCUUAUGGUUGUAAAGCACGUUAAGCGAGGAGGAGGCUACCUGGAUUAAUGCUCUAGGAUAGUGGACGUUACUCGCAGAGUAAUCACCGGCUAACUCUGUGCCAGCCGCCGCGGGAAUAC